rnacentral:rRNA from 1 species
AUUGAACGCUGGCGGCAGGCUUAACACAUGCAAGUCGAGCGGGGGAAGGUAGCUUGCUACCGGACCUAGCGGCGGACGGGUGAGUAAUGCUUAGGAAUCUGCCUAUUAGUGGGGGACAACAUCUCGAAAGGGAUGCUAAUACCGCAUACGUCCUACGGGAGAAAGCAGGGGAUCUUCGGACCUUGCGCUAAUAAAUGAGCCUAAGUCGGAUUAGCUAGUUGGUGGGGUAAAGGCCUACCAAGGCGACGAUCUGUAGCGGGUCUGAGAGGAUGAUCCGCCACACUGGGACUGGGACACGGCCCAGACUCCUACGGGAGGCAGCAGUGUGGAAUAUUGGACAAUGGGGGGAACCCUGAUCCAGCCAUGCCGCGUGUGUGAAGAAGGCCUUAUGGUUGUAAAGCACUUUAAGCGAGGAGGAGGCUACUCUAGUUAAUACCUAGGGAUAGUGGACGUUACUCGCAGAAUAAGCACCGGCUAACUCUGUGCCAGCCGCCGCUGUAA